UAACAAUACUCCUAAGUUCUAUUUUUGGUACUGCCGGUUUUGUAGGUAUGGAGAAUAAAGUAACCUCCAAUCGCAGCAGGAUCAAGCAAACGAAGAAUCCAAGAAAGAUAUCUUUAUUCCUUAUCAAACAGAAGGUUGGAUCUCUAGUUUAUCAAAAACACAAACUUAUCAGACCAAAGAAGUUGUUUAGGCUGUGUAUUCAUGAUGAGUUUGGCACAAGGGCAUUGAGCAAACCUGCGGUGAUACUUAGAGCAACCACACUACAUCAUGAAAUAAAGCUUCGCACAGCAAGGCGGAACAUCCUAUGGAUUUAUCGUGUGCACAAAGUUCGUACGUGGACAUCUUAUAAGGAAAAUAUUGAGGUGAUCAACAGACUGCACCACAUAUUUGACCAUGCAAUUCGUAGGUACACCGAGCACCGUUUGGAAGCUGGAUUGUUCUAUUUAGUCCGUGAUAUGGAUGGUUUUACGCACACGGUUCGUAGUCACCUCUACAGUGGCACUGGCAGUGAGUUCUUGAGAGAUUUGUGGAGAAAGAAGAGACUGGAGCGCAAGAUGAGACAAACUAACAAAGAGGUAUGCAACUGUUCUGCAAGUGCACAGAUAUCCAAUCUGUGUGAUAGAAAACUUUCCAGCAUUGUCACCAAGACAUUGAAAUUGUGUAGCAUGAGGCACAUAUUUUGCUUGUUACUUGUAAUUUUCUUGGCUUUCCUGAUAGUAUAUAUGUAAAUGAGUGUUAA